UUGAGGCUUUUUGAGUGCUGCUGUAGGUAACAAAAACAAAACUUGAAAAUCGUUCAAUGCUCACUGAGGAAAACUUCAUAAAUUGAGGGAUCUUGAUGCGGGUUUUCACAUAAAGUAAUCAAGCUUGGCAGAAGUCCUCCUCUUCUUUUAUUGAUUCGAGUGAUCUUGGACGCUGUUUGAGACUGCUGUGGCAAUUCUUUGGUCAUAACUUUCUUUCCUAAACAAAAAAAAGCUUGGCAAUCA
rnacentral:misc_RNA from 1 species